GGUCCUCUGCUCCUGGUGGCGGCAGAGCAACCUUUGUGCCUUUUGUUGUACCAGAUAAGAUGUUAAUUAAGAUAGUGCUCACCCGAGGGCUGAUUUUAAUAUAUAUACACUGCUAUUGGCGUAUACAUUUUGUAAUCCAUCAUUCUGGCUUCAUCUGGUUUAUCUUAGGUAUUGAUUCGGCACAAACAGAAAUUGGGGAGAAAAUGCACUAUGGCACCAGAAUCGUUUCAGCAAGAAUAAGUGGUAUAAAUGAGUGAAACGUGGUUCCUCUGUGCAGUAGGGUGUUUUGUUUCCCUGGAAGGGAAUAAUUAAACUUCAAGAAGGAAAUACCUGGGUGGAUUAACUUUUUCCUGAAUGGCAGUAUUUGUAGAGGGGCGUUGAGGAGAAACACAUCAGCAUAGCAGUGCUCCUCGCAGUGAGCUGCCAGCAGGUAUGGGAGAGAAAAGUCUUAUUCUUUUUGCCUGUAUUGUAUUGCUGGGAUUGACAUCAGCUGGAGAGCAUCUGGAAUAGAAGAGGACAGGGAUAACAGUAAUUGUGCUGCAUCUUGCAAGUGUUUUGGGAAGAAAUCCACUUUGGAAGUAGUGCUUUAAUGAAAAACUUUACCAUAAACCCUGAGAUAGGAAAAUUGAUGGAAGUGUGGCCUCAAAAAAAACAAUUUUUUUUUUUUAAAGCAUUAUACUUUUAGUUUGCCCUGAGUUAGUGUAAGAGAACUGUCAUGGCCUGAGUUGAUGAUUGAUCACCUGGUGCAGGGGGUGGCUGGCCCAGGAAGCAUGGGGGCAUGCAAUUCACCUCUGCUUCCCACCUGACUGGGGGGGGGGGACCCUUAAUGAGCUCCCUGGGCUCACAUAAAGGCUCACCCCUGGAAGGAGAAGGUCUGCUGGGUGAAGGCUGCUUCCUGAGAAGGAGCGUUCUGUUGCUGGAGGCCUGCUUGCCAGUCUGGAAAAAGAGGUUUCAGAGCAUUCAGCAUCUCCCCUGUGAGGCACCUGUAUGUGGUACCCGAGCAGCAAGGUGCCCACGUCUGUCUGGAGCUGCCCUGUGCCUGCAGCGUGCUGCCUGCACUGCCAUCACUUGGGUGAGUUUAAAGAUUGUCACUGCGAUAUCAUCACG